rnacentral:lncRNA from 1 species
AAACAAUAACCGCAUGCGAAUGUGAUCAACAUUACAAAUAGGUUGCUUAGGUUUUGAUAUAGCCAAAAACUUAACAUCAUGUAAUCGUACUAAUUUACGAAAUCUACGCAAAUUUGGGGCUCGAGCCACCCCUCUAAUAUUCCAAAAAAAUGCGUUAAUCAUGAUGUAAAUCCUGGUCAGAGUUAUGGGAAGAUGUUGCUGACUUGAGCUUUCUAUCAGAUGGCUGACGGAUGCGAGCACCCAUUCCCCUUAGUUUGGUGAAAUCGUGUAAGCCCCCAGCAUGAUCAAUGUUCAGUUCCACUACGAAUGAAGCUGACUCAUUUUCAGGUAUGGUCACCAUCCUUGGCGAUAGGUUGCCCGCAACCCAGGGUAGGUGGAUGGCCCUUCAUUCAUCCGUAUCCAUGUUCGUGUCUAUCGGCACUUGCUCGAUUCCUGCAAAAUCCGAGGAGGUAACCCCUCCAUGCAUGGCGUGCAUCUCAAUGUCAUGGAGAUGCACUUGCGCUUCCAAAUGAUCUCGCCAGUUGGGUGCGGCAAUGCCGAUUCAGUAGAGGCUUUCGCUACUGAUCCAGCGUUAACAUGGCUUGCAUCCACCACCUCCGUCACGCUUGAAUGGUGUUAGGUAGGAGGCUGCUCACCCUCACGCAAGUCAAGCGCCUCGCACAAGUCACUCA